rnacentral:lncRNA from 1 species
GGAGCGUCAUGAGCUUACCUGAAACUGUACCGGUGAUCACAAUGUGGCGAUUUGGUGGAGCAAGAAGGUUUCUGAAAUUAUGAGCUAUAAUCUGCAAAUUUUGGUGUCUCGGAUGGUCUAAACAUGAGACCUAUGCUGGAACUGCAAAUUGUGCCUGGUCUUUGUAAGAAUGCUUUUUUUCGUGUGACCAGAGCAUGCUAGAAUUAUAGCAAAUUAGGGGUGUCUUUAUGGUGUGAGCAUGAGCAUGAUGAGACAUGUGCUGGAACUGCAAAUUGUGCUGGUGGAUUAAGAAUGUUUUCCUGUGUGGCUAGAGAAGUACUGUACGCUAGAACUGGCAAAUUGUGCUGCUGUUGCGCGAAUCUUUCUUGCCACAGGUUCCAUCGAUUGUGUGAGGUUUUAUGUAUGAAACGGUCGCUGAAUUUGUACUUGGUUCAGUAAAGCUUUUCUGUUGUUAGUUUUGGCAGCUCGUUUAUGCAGAGGCUGGUCUUGCUGUUUUGGCUGUUUCAGGGUUUGGGUGCAGAC